UUUCAGAGUUCGAGCCGAUCAAGGUGUUGAAAAUGUAGAUAUUGCUCGAUGCAUGUUUACAGUACGAGGGACUGGUCGUGGCAGUUUCAUUGCAGGCAAAAGCGUCCAUAACCAGAGAGUGGAACGACUAUGGAGAGACCUUUGGAGUGUAACAUGCCAGUACUACAACGUACUCCACAGUUUGGAGGAAGAGGGGUGUCUAGACCUAUCCAAUACUGUCCAUCUCUACUGUGUUGGAUAUGUCUUUAUACCACGACUCCGAUCAGAUCUGCAUCACUUUACAGAGAGCUGGAACUGCCACCCCUUGCGCACCGAGGGAAAUCUGACUCCAAAUCAACUCUGGAUGAUAGGGAUGUUGCAAGCACCCGUGGCAGAACCCCUGGUAGAGAUCCAGCAAACUGAAGAGCAGCCUCCUUGUGCCCCUUGUGACGAUGACACCAGUGAACAUGGAGUGGUUGUUCCAGACAUCCAAUGCCCCCUGUCAGAGGAAAGACUUUUGGCACUACAACAAAUAAAUCCAAAUGCUGAGUUAUCCAGCUGUGGUCGAGACAUACCGUAUUUUCACGACCAAAAGGCGCACUGUACCAAAAGGCGCAGUCUCAGUUAUGUGUGCCAUUACAGUAUUUAAAACACACAUAAGGCGCACCUGAUUAUAUGGCGAGGGUUUUAUAUACAAUCCACGCCCACACUUCCCCCUUUAACGUUCUCAUGGUGUCCUCUACUACGUCGGCCUUACAACAACAACACACACACAAGCAUACAAGUGUGCGUAUUUAAAAAUAGAGCCGGAGCAAAACUGAGUUUGGUAUUCACUUUUUUUUUUUUUACCGGUAAUCGUCAUCAAUCAAACCCAUGGAAGUCCUCAUCCUCUGUUUCUGAAUUGAACAGCUGCGCUAAACCUCCAUCAAACAUGCCAGGUUCACUUUCUUCACUGUCAGAGUCACUUUCCGUGCCGUGCGGCGCCUCGGAAAUGAUGCCGGCUUUUGCGAAAGCUCGAACAACAGUGCCAGCAGACACGUUAGCCCAAGCAUUUACAAUCCAUUCGCAAAUUGUGGCGUAACUCGCCCGGCGCUGCCUUCCACUCUUAGUGAAACUGUGGUCUCCAUCGGUCAUCCAUCGCUCCCACGCCGCUCGCAGCCUUACUUUGAACGGCCGGUUCACACCGAUGUCCAGCGGUUGGAGUUCCUUUGUCAGGCCUCCCGGAAUGACAGCAAGCUCAGAGUUCAUUUGCUUCACUUGUUUUUUCACAUCGGCUGUGAGAUGGGCACGCAUAGAGUCACAGAUCAACAGCGAUGGUGAUGCGUGGAAAAAACCACCUGGUCUACGUCCGCCUUACAACAACAACACACACAGGACGCACUGCACCAUAGGGCGCGCCGCACAAUUUGAAGAAAAUCUAAGACUUUUAUGUGCGCCUUAUAGUCGUGAAAAUACGGUACUUGCAGGCUCUCAAUGUUGCCAGUGGUUUCUAAAAUCUAGUGGACAGUCAUGAAAGAAGCAGGCUGGAUCAAAGUGGCAUACCAUUUUUUGAAACAGACCAGAAUAAAUUUGCAUGUGAUUCACAUGAAA